rnacentral:lncRNA from 1 species
GCUUCAGUCAGGAUACACACAUUCAGGGUUUUGGAGAGUCCAUGCUGGUGAUAAACUAUAAAGCAAGGGUCCCCAACCUCUAAGAUCUAAUGCUUGAUGAACUGAGUUGGAGCUAAGGAUGUCCUUGAAUCAUCCCAAAACCAUUCCCCUACGCCUGGUCCUGGGUCCGCUGCUAUAAAAUAUUGAGAUGGAAAGGGAUUCCUUCAGGUGGCUCUUUCUAGCAAAUCCAUUUAAAAUGGUUGGUGACAUAGAACCAUAGAUAGUAAUAGGGAAAAAAUAGGUUGUAACCUUCUUGGUAAGAUCCCCUUGAUUUAAAUGAUCUCAGAGUGAAUAUUGGAGAAGGAAAUGGCAACCCACUCCAGUAAUCUUGCCUGGAAAACACCAUGGACAGAGGAGCCUGGCAGGCUACAGUCCAUGGGAUCACAAGAGUCAGACACGACUUAGCGACUAAACCAUCCACCACUACAAAGUGAAUAUAUGCCUAAAGAUAAUAUGUGAAAAGGAUAUUUGCCAUAUACUAGCUAGUUUUUUGGUGGGAGGGUGGGAGUCAAGGAAGACUUGGGGUUAUUUUUUCAUCAAUUUCCAUUUUAUACUUAUUUAUAAUGGUCAUUAUUUUUACUAAUACUGUAAAACUAUGAAAAUGAAUAAAAUACUAAAAGUUUCAUAUAGCCAAGAAUUUAUAAUAUGACUUUAUUUUGUAUGAUAAUAUGAAUUAAAACAUAUAUCUGCCACAGAUGGAUAUGAAGGAAUGUUCAUUGCAUCAUUGUUUAUAAUAGCAAACAAAUAAUCAGUUGGAUUGCCCAAGUAUUUUAUGAUUUAUUUAUCUAGUGCUAAUUGUUAACGGAUGUUGGAGGAUAUCCAGAAAACAUUCACCUGGAGAAAUAAAGCAUGGGAUUUUUGUGUGAUCUCAUUAAAAAGAAAAGGGAAAAUAUGGAGAAAUAUUUGUGACAACAUGAAUGAAACUGUAGGACAUAAACUAAAUGAAACAAGACAAAGACACUGCAUGGCAUCAUUUUAUCUUAUAUGUGGAAUCCAAAGGGGAAAAGUGUCAAACUUACUAGAGACAGUGAGUAUAAUAAUGGUGGUGGCUGCCUGGGAAUGGGGAGAGGUUAUAAAAGGGUACAAACUUUCAGCUGUAAGAUGAGUUAGAUCUGAGGA